rnacentral:rRNA from 1 species
UCGAACGAAGGGUAGAAAUACCCUUAGUGGCGGACGGGUGAGUAACGCGUGAGCAAUCUGCCCUUGUCAGGGGAAUAACACAUAGAAAUGUGUGCUAAUACCGCAUGACGUCAUUGAACGGCAUCGUUUAAUGAUCAAAGAUUUAUCGGACAAGGAUGAGCUCGCGUCCCAUUAGGUAGUUGGUGAGGUAACGGCCCACCAAGCCGACGAUGGGUAGCCGACCUGAGAGGGUGAUCGGCCACAUUGGAACUGAGAGACGGUCCAGACUCC